ensembl:lncRNA LINC01515 long intergenic non-protein coding RNA 1515
GUGUGGAACCUGGAAUUCAAACGGCUGGGUAGGAAGCACGCUAGCAGGGGCCUCUGGCCUUGCUGAGGGUCCCUGUUUCCCCUUUUCCUUCCUUUUCACCCAACAAAACCCUGCUUUACUCACCCUUCAAACCAUCUAUGAGCCUAAAUUGUCGUGGUCGUGGAAUGGACAAGGACCCAGUCUUUAGCUGAACUAAGGGAAAGUCCUGCUUUUUGGCGCGCAACAGGGGAGCUCAAGAAACAGGCCUCACUCACGGCAUAUGGAACUAACCACGCCCCUAACUAAGAAGGCACACCUUAGUUGCAGUUAGCACACAAUUAAAGCAACUCUCCAAGUUUUACCUUAAAGUUCAAAAUUGCUAGGAGUUGAAACUACUAGAAAUAUAUUUACAUGCAAGAGUCAAAGAAACUUUGAACUAUUUAUGGCCUUUAAUAAUUAAGUAAGGUAUACUCCUGUGAUCAAGACUUGGAGCAUAUUUGUUUCUCUCUGCCUGGUUCCUCUAGAAAUUGGAAACUAUCAGAACAGAGACCAACUCCGUUUCCCGAUCCCUUUGCAAUCUGCAUUGAACCAUGAGUCAAGUUCUUGAUAAAGGAGUGAAAAUGGUAAGUCUAAAGCAAUGAAAAGCUGCUGUAUUGACUACACAUGCCUUCAUUUCUUCUACCCUGCUUCUUUCAUGCCUGCUUAUCUGAAUGACACCAGGAUGACAUUUAAGGCACAUCUGAAGAUGGGGAAACCACAGCACAGAAUAAGGCUGGGCCCUUGAAUCAAUAAAUGAAGGAGAACUACUCAAGAGAACAAAACCACCAGCAAUAUCCACCUGUAUUUGUCUUUUCAUAAUGUGUGACACAUGUGCUCAUGGAUUAUUGUCCGAAGCAAGACAUGUGACCAAGCCUAACAUCAACUGGGUGAAGAGCUAUAUGUUCCUUUCUCAAGAGGCACUACAAGUGACAUGCCACUGGGCAGGAUUAUCCUUUCUACUCUCCUACUUUCUGAACUACUUUUCUCCCUCUGUAAGUCUUAAAGAAGUUCAAUGAGCUAUAAGUGAACUCAGGUAGACAACUCAACAAAAUCAAGAAGACAAUACAUGAACAAAAUGAUACUUUGAAUAAAUAAAUAUAAACCAUAAAAAACUUGAAUUAUUCAGUUCAGUCAUAAUACAUGACUUUAAACUUCAAAACAGUUUGUUAUAGUACAGCCAAAAUCAUUAAAAUUGGUCAGCUAAGAAGUAUAUAUUUUUUCUAGUUCUCUAAUGGAUAGCUGUACAUUAUAUUCACAACUUACAAAAUCUGUCCAGCAAGAUAACAGAUUAGAAGACACUUAACAUUGCUUCCCCCACAAAGGUAUAAGCAGUAACUAUUCAAAGACAAUAAAACUACCCUGAAGUUACUAGAACUUGAGAGAGAAGCAGAGGAACUGAUGGAGCCUGCAGAAAUGAGAGAAGCUGUGACUGAUAAAUGACGAUUUUAGAAUCUGCCACCCACUACCCCAAGCCACAUAACAGCUCACAGAAAAUUUCUAUACAUUUAGGAUGUCUGAGUUGGAAGAAAUUCGAAGUUGAAAAUAAACAUUCAAUUUCCCUAUCAGUUGAGGAGGCUUCAUGGGAAGUCUACAUGGGUCUCAUCCCAUGGAAAACACUGAGAGUUCCAGGAGGGCUGAAUGACCUGAGUGAACUGAAGAUAAAAUCAGGAGAGCUGAUUGCAGCAACUGUCCUG